rnacentral:rRNA from 1 species
UACGGAGGGAGCUAGCGUUGUUCGGAAAUACUGGGCGUAAAGCGCACGUAGGCGGCGCAGCAAGUCAGGGGUGAAAUCCCGGGGCUCAACCUCGGAACUGCCCUUGAAACUGCAGUGCUAGAAUCUUGGAGAGGCGAGUGGAAUUCCGAGUGUAGAGGUGAAAUUCGUAGAUAUUCGGAAGGACACCAGUGGCGAAGGCGACUCGCUGGACAAGUAUUGACGCUGAGGUGCGAAAGCGUGGGGAGCAAACAGG